AUUUUUGUGAAUAAUCUGUUGAUACUUGAUAACAGUUCAAUUCAUCUCAACAAAGUAUUACUCUCUUAUCCUCCCUCUUUUGUAGCUUUCCAGAAUUGUGAUAACAUAGAAGAAACCUGGAUUUAUCUAAGCACAUUAUCCAGCCUGCAAAGUUCCAAGAAAAUAUGAGAAACAAGUUUACCUUAAUAAGAAGAUGACUACAAACCUGUGAGCUUGGAAAAAACGAGGUGAGCUAGCCACCAGCAGAUCCAGAGACAGAGUAGAGUCCAUGAUCAGCUUUGCAGCAAUCAGAUGUCUUAGAGAAGCUGGGGAGCCCAGUGGUAUGGUAAAGACUUGAAGAAAGAGAUGUUUUGCAGGACAAGUCAAGAUGCAAAAACCAAGGCUGGGGACCUGGCUGUCAAUCAAGAAGAAGGUUCCAAAAGGAAUGUUCCCAGGAGUUGGCAGUUGAGGUUGGCUGAGGACCCUUGUAGGACUAACUUGGUUUUGGGGCUUUCUGACCAAGGGAGAAACCUCUGCUCUCUCUGAGAUUUGACUGACCAAGAGUUGGAAGAAAGCCAAGCUGAAGGAGAGACUUUUCUUGGUGAAGAAAAAAGAUUUUAACCAUUGUCCUCCAUCUCUCUAACUGUCUUAGAGUCACAGUUGUGACUGGACUACUUUCCCAAACGCUCAAAUUCUCCCUUAUUUUAGAUUAGGGACAUCCUCAUCCCUCUUACCUCAGUUUCCCAAUAAACCCCCUGAUUUGAAAAGGAAAAAGAAAGGAAUAUAGUUCACUCAGGAGGGGAGGGAAGAAGCCAAAGGCUUCAAGAAGAACUGGGAGGUGAGGAAGGCAGGGAGGAUAGAUAAAGGAGGGAGGGAGAGAGGGUAGGAGGAGUUUAGGAGAAAUAUUGAUCCACUAGUCAUCAGUAGGGAUCAGUAGACAGACCCCAGAGCAUUCCCCUGUAUCAGCAGUGUCUCUCAAAGUACUUCUAUCUUCAUUUUAACUAAGUAUCAUCAGGUGUGUCCCCAUACUUAGUAGCAGCUCUCUCUAGUCAUAAGCCAGAGCAUUCAGUCAUUGCAAAGAGUACUAGUGUCACACAGAUUUACCUUUCUAUUUCAACAAGUAAUAGUUUCCACAGAUUAACCAUUUCUAUUUCAGUGAUGAGUAUUGUAUUUACUACCUGAAGAUAUAUAUGUAUAUAUAUAUAUUUAAAUAAUAUGACAUAUGUAAAUGUGUAAAAAUAGAAGAUGCAUAUAUAUACAUAUAGCAUAAUAAUGAUCUCAUCGAUGAAUAUAGAUAAAGAGGAAAGAGUUAAAAUAUUAAUACAGGGACAGAGUAGUUUAGGGUGGAAAGGGGAAUAUUGUUUGGAGAGGUAACAUAGGGACAGAAUGAAUCAGAUUUCAUUUAGAUACGAGUUUAUAUAUAUAUAUAUAUAUUCAUAUAUAUAUACACCUAUAAAUGCUGUGAAUUGUUACAUUGGAAUUAGCAUUAUAUAAGGCAUAGGAUGAUUCAAUUUUACUUAAGUUAAACUUUAUAUUGAUUGCUAUAGGAAUGACUUUUAUAUUAAGAAAUUGUUAUAUUGGAAAAAUUUUUGUUGGCAUAUAAUACUAACCCUCUUCCCACAAGAUGUCUUAGCAUAAGAUAGGAAUUUAGAUUAUCAAAUAGACAGAUUAGGAUAAGAUUUAUUGUUUUAGGAGGGGGAGGUUAGAUUGGGACAAUGAGUAUCAUAGAUAGAUUAGAAUAGACAUGGGCAAUAAGUAACUGGCAUGGGCCAGGGUGGCACCUUGCGAACAACAGGAAAUGGAGUUGUGAUAGCGGCUGGUACUAGAGAAAAAGUGCCAGACUGAAGAGUUUGUGAAAUUGAUCACCUCAACGGGGGCCUGCGGGAGUGAAUUUCCUGAGGAGAGAAGACCCUGGUGAGGAGAGCAGUGAGGGUCUCUCCGUCUUGAGACGUUGAAGAAAGAAGGUGAAUAAAGACUUUCUCCUGAGGGUUACCCAUUUUUCCUGCUGGUGACUGGAAAUCUUUCCCCCCAACACUUCCAAAUUGAAGGGACUAUCUGAAGAGAAACCUGAGCAGACUUUACCUCACCUCCUGUUGCCCAGGGGUGAGUCAACCUGACUUUCUCUGGGGGAGGAUGGGGGUGGGGGGGUCAGGCUCCCAAGAUCCAAGUUCAGACUCCAGGAGGGAGGAAAAGGGUUUAAAUAGAGACAGGGACCCCCUUUUCCCAAUUUCCUUUUACCAUUCUUCCCUACCUGUUGUUCCUUUUGUAUUACCUGAUUGAGUUAACAUUAAAAGUUAUCUGUUCCCCAAGCUGAGUGUGAGUGAACAGAUCAAGGGGAAACCCUUUGGUCUUGAGUAGUGGAGGGGGAACAAUAGGGACAAGAGCGAAUUGGGGAGAGCAGCUUUAGCUAAGGAGGUAAGGCAGAAGGAGGGAAAUCUCCAAACCCUCUCUCCUCUCUCUGAGCCAACCUGUUACCUCUGCUGUUCUCCCCUGAACCCCACUUUAUGGGAAGAUGGGGUUCUCCUCUCUUUCCCCCUCUUUAUACCUCAAGGUCCAAGCCUCCCUUUUGAGACUACAUCCCUUCCCUUCUUUAAUAUUUUUUUUUAAACAGUGUGGGGCCUGGAAUCAGGAAGAUUCAUCUUUUUGAGUCCAAAUCUGGCCUCAGACACUUACUAGCUGUGUAACCCUGGACAAGUUACUGAAGCCUGUUUGCAUAGUUUCCUCAUCUGCAAAGGGCAGAAGGAAAUUACAAACCAUUUCAGAAUCUUUACCAAGAAAACCCCAAAUAGGAUCAUUAUGUAUCAGAUACAAGUGAAAAAAUGACUAAACAAUAACAAAAUAUCUGUUUUAGCAAUGUGAAGAUUUAAAAAUACAAAUGGUGUCCAAUUUAGACCUUGUGAACUUCACAGCUUUUUUUCCUCAAAAUACUCAAUUUUCAUUCUAAAUAACAAUUCCAACUCCAUUAAGGCAGAAUAUUACAAUACUUAUUUUUUGUAGGCAAGGUGAUAGAGUAUAUGUUGACUAUUCCCCUGUUGCAGUGUAGUUUUUUGCUGGAGUUUUAAUUCAGACCACCCCCACCACAUACUUGUAAAUUAAAGUAAAUGUGGCAUAUCAUAUCAUCAAUAUCUUUGUCUUUUCCCCUUUUAUUAUUCUCCCUUCUACUGACAAGUUUCAAAAAGCAAACCCCCAAAAUAAAUGUACCUCCAUUCUCUGCAUCAUCUGGCAAGAUUAAUUUCAACCUUAACCCUUUCCAAAAAGGUGAGCUUCUAUAUUUUAAGUUUAUCAGUUCUCAGUCAGAAAGUGAGUGGUGUUUCAUGAAGGCAGUUAGUGACAGAAUGGAUAAAGCAUUAGGUUUACUGUUAGGAAAAUGAGUUCAAAUCUAACCUCAGAUACUUAUAAGAUGUUUGACCCUGGAAAAAUCACAUAACUUGUUAGAUUCAAUUUUCUAAAAUGGAAAAUACAGAUAGUAACAGCAUCUACCUUGUAGGGUUUUUUGGAAGAUCAAAUGAGAUUUAUAAAGCACUUAGCAUAGUAUACACAUAGUAGAUGUUCUAUAGUGUUUAUUCUCCCCCUCCACCCUUUCCUAUCCAUUUUUUUCUUUGAAUGGCGAUUUCCCAAUGUAUUAAUCAAAAUUACAGCCUUUCAGAGUUGUUUCUCUAUAAUCUCAUCUUUGUAUAUUUUUUUUCUAAUUUCUACCCACAAUACUCUGUAUCAGCUGAUAGAAGUCUUCCCAGUUUCCUAGAAACUGUUAAUUUCAUCAUUCCUUAAGUAGGAAAGUGCUGGCAUAUGUUUAAUAACUAGUUUUAUGUAAAAGAAAGUACCCACAACAUACUUUUAAGCUUAAUCUGCAUCAUUACCAUUUUCUCCAUCAUGUUCUUAAGUCUAGACAAUCAAUAAAAAAUAUGAAGCCAGACUUGCAGCAUUUGCUGAUUUUGGAAAUAUAAAUACUCACACUGAAAAUUAAUAAUAGGCUCUCUUGAGCAGGUUCAAACUGGCUCCAGCACACCCCUGUCAUAUGAUAUAAUAAUACUCCAUUCCAUUUAUAAAACACAAUUUCUUUAACCUUUCUCUAACAGAAGGAGAUUCUUUUAUUUUCCAGAACUCACUAGUUAUGCAAGAAUCAGAUUCAUCCUAUCAAUUCCUUUUGAUACAUUUUAUAUAGGAUUUUGGAAACAUUAUCCAUUAUAAUUGACCUGAGUUUUGUUAUCUUCCUUUAAAUUGUUAUCUUAAUUUAGUCAUUGUGCAUAUUGUUCUUUUGGAUGUCAUUUCUUUACCCAAUAUCAUGAUGUUCAUGUAAAUAUCUUCAUUUUACUCUGAAAUUCUUGAUAUUCAUUGUUCCUUAUGGUGUUAUUUCCAACUAAAUUUAAAUAGCAUAACUUAUUCAGGCAUCCCCUAAUUAUUGGGUACAUAAUAUGUCUCAAGCUUCUUGCUAUUAUACACAGUAGUGCUGUGAAUAGUUUGGUCCAUAUAAAAUUCUUUAUGUCACUAACUGCAAUAUGGUUAUGGUUAUGGAAUUGUAUCAAUUAAUUAAAUUUCUUUUUGCUAUUCUAAUUUAUUUCCCAAAAUGAUUAAACCAAUUCACAAUUCCACCAUCAGUGAAUUAGUGUGUCUAUCUUCCCACAACAGGAAUAUUUACUUUUCCCAUCUUUUAUCGUAUUUAAGAAUUUUAUAAAUAUACAAUGAAAUC